GCAUAUAACACAUUAAAGUUAAAACAUUUCAUGAUUAUUUGUCUCAUAUAUUAUAUAGGAGGUGGCAAUAAUGGUAGCAGAUAUCGUAGGUACUAUCGUAGAAUUUGUAAAACUUAUUGCUGAAACUGUUAAAAAGUUUACUAAGUAAUCUUGAGGGUUUCGUGCUGGUUUACAUUUACGACCGUAUACUAUGGGCAAUAUGAAAUCCCAAGUUUCCAUAUUGAUUACAGUACGGCGUAAUGAAAUAUCAGCUUUUUGCUCUAUAUUUCAAACUUCCCCAACCAUAUCAUAUGAAAAACUGUGAUAAUAUUUGAAAUUCAUUACAUUCCCUUAAUACGAAAAAAACAGGCAAGCCUCCCAAUCUUGCCUGUUU
rnacentral:ncRNA from 1 species